AAUGUGUCCGGUUGAGGGUGCAAACGACCUAAUUUCACGACGAAAAUCUUGCCACAAACCGCCUUCGGCAGUUUGUCCAUUUGUAGAUCUCGAAAAGUUAUGCGAUUUCAAGAUAAAAAUCGCCUCAAUCGGACAACCGAGCACAAAGUUAUGGUCGUUCAAAGUUCUCGACCUCAACUAAGGGCGUGGGUCGCGUUUUCUCAACAUUGGACUCACCUCGUUUCGAAUCGAGCGCGUUCCUCUCGAAAAGUUAGGCGAAAUCAAAGAAAAAAUCGCCUCGUUCCGACAACCGAGCCCAAAGUUAGAGCAGUUUCCGGAGGACGGUGUGAAAAACGCACCCGAUUUCGCACCUGAGGUGCGAAAAUGCGCGCCUUGGCACACCUGGGGUGCGAUUUUGGCACACCCGUGCGCAAAAAUGCGCGAAAUGCGCACCAGGGUGCACACCCGUGCGAGAAAAUGCGAGAAAAUGCGCACCAGGAGCACACAUAUGCGCGAAAAUGCGCGCCAGGGUGCACACCCAUGCGCAAAAACGCGAGAAAAUGCGAGAAAAUGCGCGCCAGGGUGCGAUUUUGGCACACCCUUGCGCAAAAAUGCGAGAAAAUGCGC
rnacentral:lncRNA from 1 species